GCUUUAGCCUUAGGUGGGGGAGUUUUCCAUUUCCCUUUCAGCUUAUAUUAAAUUACUUUCCUUUCUUGUCAUAGGCAUAAUCCUUUGAUGGGAAAACCUUGACGGCCUUUCAGAAGAGGAAGAAAGCCCUCCUCUGCAGAGUCACCAGGGACUGGCUAUUACUAAUUGAUUCUACAUGGAGAACACACAGUGGUGACAGCCAUCAGUCUGAAACAAGCUUGCAGACUCCCAGGAAUUGUUUACCUUUCCACAGGGAAUGGAUGCAGGCCUCUGUCCCUUGUGCCCUGGCCUAUAUGGAAGGAUGA
rnacentral:lncRNA from 1 species